UGGAGAUAUUCAAGGCCCGUCUGGAUGCCUACCUGGGCAGCCUGCACUAAGGAACCUGCUUUGGCAGGGGGGUUGGACCCGAUGAUCUUUUGAGGUCCCUUCCAAUCCCUUGAAUUCUGUGAUUCUGUAACUUCUGCUUAACUGACCUUUGACCUCAAAUUGACAGACAGUUGUUUGCAUGUGUUUGCUGAGCAUAUUCUAGUGGCAACCCCCAAAAGUAAUAAAUGUUGGCUGAAACUUAUUAAAACUUUGCUAUUUAUCUAUUUAUUUCAGGGGAGGGGGAGCAGACGAGAGAAUCAAUGCCCAGAGGAAUGCAGGACAGAACUGUGUGAUUUCCUUCUAAGCUCAGCUCCAUUUGGGAGCACAACAAUGAAUUCCAAGGCAGGGAAUUGUUCACAGAAUAUAUCAUAUCCUCAUGAUGAACACUGGACUAAGAUUUAAACCUCCUGUGCUCUAAUUUUACUUGUACAUGAGACGCUAUCUCAAAGAAAUACGAUAGAAGCUGAAAAUCGCGAUGUCACAAAGGAGGAAGCCAUUCCUUUAUUUGGAAAACCCGAGUCAGCAUAUUACUUUUAGAGCAAGGCUACCACCUAGUGGUCUUCAUUUAUAACGACUGGCUGCAGCUACAGAUUUUGCAAAAAGAUACCCACGAGGAAAAAUAACACUCACUCUGCUUCUGCUUCUUGCUAACGGCAUCAGUCUUUGAACAAGAAAAGCUCAUAUAUCAACAGAAGAAAUUUUGAAUCAAACAAAGACUUAUUUGAAUUUAUGUAUAGCUGGCAUAACAGCUGCUGAAUAAUAUACAAAAUUACAAUACAAUUGGUUUGUAGAAGCCAAAUUGUGGAGACGCCAACUGCUGGAGACGUGUCUUGUUAAGAGAGAAUCACAAACCCAGGAGUCUGUGUUACAGUCCCUCUGUUUGACAUGCAUGAGGUUACUGGGUACUGCUGUUUUCUGGCAGCAAUACUCUGACACAAAUAAGAAGCAUGGCAAACAGUUGAUUGUCUUCGCUGAUGCUAAAGUUUGUUCAAUAUAGACUUCUGUGAGUAUCUAACGUAGCUGAUUAAAAUUGUUUACAACUUGGCUUUACUGUGUUAAAGAGCGCUUAAUGUGGUAUCAGGAUAGAGCUGUGAUUUAAAGUUGAAUGUCUGCCUGUGGUAUUUCAUCUGUAUUAUGCUUGGGAGAACUGCCAUCUUAGUACAAAUGAGGUCAAAAUUUAUGAAAGCUGGGGAAUAGCUGCCUUAACCAUAUGCAAAAAAAAAAAAAAAAAGUUUAGAUUUAUGCUUUACAGAGUAGACAAGGAAAAUACUGCUUUGCUAGUUAACAUUCUUUACCAUUAUACAAAUUAUAUGUUUACAGUUGUUCUAGUAUACUAUGUUAUGUCAUUGAAAAUUAAUAUUUGC
rnacentral:lncRNA from 1 species